UACGUAGGGGGCAAGCGUUGUCCGGAAUCAUUGGGCGUAAAGAGCGUGUAGGCGGUCCGAUAAGUCGGUUGUGAAAGUCAAGGGCUCAACCCUUGAAUGCCGACCGAUACUGUCGGGCUAGAGUCCGGAAGAGGCGAGUGGAAUUCCUGGUGUAGCGGUGAAAUGCGUAGAGAUCGGGAAGAACAUCAGUGGCGAAGGCGGCCUGCUGGGCUGUUGCUGACGCUGAGGCGCGACAGCGUGGGGAGCAAACAGG
rnacentral:rRNA from 1 species